CUAAAAGUUGUCGAUAGUUGUCGUCGACGGUAAAGCAGCCAACGAAUCUCUGCCGCUAAAUCGGAACGAAUCUCUUCGUUAUGACCGCGGGCAAAUCCUCCUUACAGGACUAUAGAUUACUGGGAUACGUCUUAUGAACGCUGUGGUCACCUACCAUCGGAAGUUUCGUAACGAACCUCAUCGUAUUCUGCGCCGACGUACUCGAGCAGCGAUUAGUUCAGACGGUUGUCCGGCUAUCACAAAAAAGCGUGUCUACGUCGGGUUUCGAACCCAGAGUAUUUUAAAUCGGAUCCCUAGGCUUAACUGGCAAAACAUUCCGUACUGCACUGCCAUCCAGACCAUCAUCUGGAUAUCGGUAAGUGUUCAGCAGCAAAUAAAGUGACUUACUUUGAUG